rnacentral:snRNA from 1 species
GAGCUCUGUUUGGCAGCACACAUACUAAAACUGGAACAAUACAGAAAUUAGCAUGGUCUCUAAUCAAGGAUGACAUGCAAUUCAUGAAACAUUCCACAUUUUA